rnacentral:rRNA from 1 species
UACGUAUGGAGCAAGCGUUAUCCGGAUUUACUGGGUGUAAAGGGAGCGCAGGCGGUCUGGCAAGUCUGAUGUGAAAGGCCGGGGCUCAACUCCGGGACUGCAUUGGAAACUGUCAGACUGGAGUGUCGGAGAGGUAAGCGGAGUUCCUAGUGUAGCGGUGAAAUGCGUAGAUAUUAGGAGGAACACCAGUGGCGAAGGCGGCUUACUGGACGAUGACUGACGCUGAGGCUCGAAAGCGUGGGGAGCAAACAGG